rnacentral:rRNA from 1 species
UACGGAGGGGGCUAGCGUUGUUCGGAAUUACUGGGCGUAAAGCGCACGUAGGCGGCUUUGUAAGCUAGAGGUGAAAGCCCGGGGCUCAACUCCGGAAUUGCCUUUAAGACUGCAUCGCUAGAAUUGUGGAGAGGUAAGUGGAAUUCCGAGUGUAGAGGUGAAAUUCGUAGAUAUUCGGAAGAACACCAGUGGCGAAGGCGGGUCUCUGGGCCGAUAUUGACGCUGAGGAGCGAAAGCGUGGGGAGCGAACAGG